rnacentral:rRNA from 1 species
CUACGGGAGGCAGCAGUGGGGAAUAUUGGACAAUGGGCGCAAGCCUGAUCCAGCCAUGCCGCGUGCGGGAAGAAGGCCUUCGGGUUGUAAACCGCUUUUGUCAGGGAAGAAAAGCUCUGGGUUAAUACCCUGGGGUGCUGACGGUACCUGAAGAAUAAGCACCGGCUAACUACGUGCCAGCAGCCGCGGUAAUACGUAGGGUGCGAGCGUUAAUCGGAAUUACUGGGCGUAAAGCGUGCGCAGGCGGUCAUGCAAGACGGAUGUGAAAUCCCCGGGCUCAACCUGGGAACUGCAUUCGUGACUGCAUGACUGGAGUGUGGCAGAGGGGAAUGGAAUUCCGCGUGUAGCAGUGAAAUGCGUAGAUAUGCGGAGGAACACCGAUGGCGAAGGCAGUUCCCUGGGCCUGCACUGACGCUCAUGCACGAAAGCGUGGGGAGCGAACGGGAUUAGAAACCCCGGUAGUCC